CAAUAAAGGCAGCACAUACAUUCUCUUAGUAAAACAGUAGGAAAUCUGGUCUUUCUUUUCCUGAUACCUUGGACUUGCUUGUGGCAUGGGUGCUGCAAUUGGAGGUCUCACCAAGAUCCAGAGAGACUUGGAAAGACUGGGAAAGAUUGUCCAAAAAGAAGACUCGGGAGAGGAGAGACUCGAGAAAGAAAAGAUUUGAAAACAGAGAUAUGUGAAGAUGCCCAGAUGAUCCAUACAAAAUACUUCGGAUUUCAUAAGAGGAAUACUAAACAUUGGAAAGUUGAAUAUUUCAUAAGAGGAGGCUGGCCUCAAACUCCCUGUGCAGAAAAUUCCUGAAUCUCCUCCACUGAACUGGGAUCAUAGAGAUGUACCACCAUGCGAGCUUGUGUGGUAUGAGGGUUUGAACCCAGGCAUUUGUGCACUCUUCACAAGGACUCUACAA